rnacentral:rRNA from 1 species
AUGAAGAACGCAUGGCAGGCAAACUCCGGCAUGAGCACAAUCAGCAGGGAUCCGGUGCUGUCCAAGACCACCGAGAGGGGGGAGAAUGACAGGCUCGAGUACGCGGUGUCGUCCAUGCAAGGUUACCGCGCGAACAUGGAAGAUGCCCAUGCAGCUGUUGGAGAUCUUGAUGCUUCCACCGCCACAUCGUUCUUUGGUGUUUAUGAUGGCCAUGGAGGACCUGCUGUAUCGAUGUUCUGUGCGAAACACUUCCAUCUUGAGGUCCACAAGCAUCCACACUUCAAUGACAGCCUGCGUAUUGCCGUGGAGAGCGCGUUCUUCAGAAUGGAUCAGAUGAUGAUGACAGAGGAGGGACGGAGGGAAUUAUCUGAGUAUAGCCCUGCUUAUAAUGCCAAUACGAAUUCGACUGUCAAGGAUAUGUUGCUCGGUUGUGCUUGUGUAAAUAUGAAGAGACGCCCCGGGGCAGCAGAUGUAGGAAGUACCGCUUGUGUGGCUGUCAUCAGAGGAAACCAGAUCAUUGUUGGGAAUGCUGGUGAUUGCCGCUGCGUGCUCUCAAGGAAUGGUCAGGCAACUGUUUUAACCACCGAUCACAAACCAAAUGUGCCGGCUGAAAGACGGAGAAUAGAGAAUGCAGGACGGUCUGUUGUACUUACUGGAGGAGCCGGUCGCAUCGAUGGUGGAAUUGCGGUCUCCAGAUCGAUCGGUGAUAUGAGGUACAAAAGCAAUAGUCGGCUGACCCCUGCACUACAAGCACUGACUUGUUCUCCUGAGAUUCGCGUAGAAAACAUAACUGAUGAAACUGAGUUCCUUGUUAUGGCAUGUGAUGGAGUCUGGGACGUCGUGCUAAACCAGGGCCUGGUUGAAAUUAUACGAAACAACAUGAAAUCUGGGAUGGACCUUGGGAAGAACUGCGAGGCCAUCCUCGACAUGUGCGUAGAGCCACCGCAACCGUCGGUCGACAACAUGACCAUCCUGCUGGUCCGGUUCAAGCACAAGACGCCAGCGGCACCCGACCCGUCCAGAGCCGACGACGGGCCGCACGGCAAGCGCAAGAGCAAGGCCUCCAUGGAACUGGGGGUGAUGGACAACCUCGACAAGGCUGCGCCGCCUACUGCAAGCGCGAAAGCAAAGCCCCGCAGAAGCUUCUGA